AGCGCAUUAUGAAAAGAAACUAGAAAGAAAAAGUCAUAUAUUUAUGAAAUUAAUUGUAAUUUCUGGCUGUACGCUAAGUUCCUUUGCGUGCACUGGCGAAUACCAGAAUUAAAAAACAAAAUUUUAAUAGUUUUCAAAACAAUCUCGAGCGGUCGGAAGUUUUUAUUUUGCUUUUUCUAGAUUUGUUGUUACUUUGUGAGUGAAUUUAACGUUAAAUAAAAAUUAUGAGAUUUAUCGAGCGUUCUUCUCAUCCGACAUUGGCGCAAAUAGAGGCAUUGAUAAACGUUUUGGGUUAAAAGCUAGCGAAACAAAAGGAUUAAUCGAAUCUCAACAUGUUCAAUAAGAGAACAAGGAACAAAUAUAGGAGAAAAUAUAGGAAUUUAAUUCUCUUGUCAGUUAAGAUCCAUUCCCGCACCUCAACACCUGACCUGCUAUUACACCACUUUUACAAUGAAA